rnacentral:rRNA from 1 species
UACGUAGGGGGCAAGCGUUGUCCGGAUUCACUGGGCGUAAAGGGCGCGUAGGCGGUUCCGUAAGUCAGGCGUGAAAGCUCACGGCUCAACUGUGGACGUGCGUCUGAUACUGCGGUGACUUGAGGUCGGUAGAGGUAAGUGGAACUAGCGGUGUAGCGGUGAAAUGCGCAGAUAUCGCUAGGAACGCCGGUGGCGAAGGCGACUUGCUGGGCCGUACCUGACGCUGAUGCGCGAAAGCUAGGGGAGCGAACCGG